rnacentral:tRNA from 1 species
GGUGGAUUAGCUCAGGGAGAGCUUAGGGCUUGUGACCGUAAGGUCCUGGGUUCGAAUCUCGCCAGAGGCACAA